rnacentral:rRNA from 1 species
AGAUUGAACGCUGGCGGCAUGCCUAACACAUGCAAGUCGAACGGGAGUAGCAAUACUCUAGUGGCGGACGGGUGAGGAAUACGUAGGAAUUUGCCCUUAAGUGGGGGAUAACCCGGGGAAACCCGGAUUAAUACCGCAUGACCUCGAAAGAGCAAAGUGGGGGAUCGCAAGACCUCACGCUUUUGGAGAAGCCUACGUCGGAUUAGCUAGUUGGUGAGGUAAUGGCUCACCAAGGCGACGAUCCGUAACUGGUCUGAGAGGAUGAUCAGUCACACCGGAACUGAGACACGGUCCGGACUCCUACGGGAGGCAGCAGUGGGGAAUAUUGGACAAUGGGCGCAAGCCUGACU